GAUGAACGCUGGCGGCGUGCUUAACACAUGCAAGUCGAACGGAAAGGCUCCUGCUUGCAGGGGUACUCGAGUGGCGAACGGGUGAGUAACACGUGGGUGAUCUGCCCUGCACUUCGGGAUAAGCCUGGGAAACUGGGUCUAAUACCGGAUAGGACGAUGGGUUGGAUGCCAUUGUGGAAAGUUUUUUCGGUGUGGGAUGAGCUCGCGGCCUAUCAGCUUGUUGGUGGGGUAAUGGCCUACCAAGGCGUCGACGGGUAGCCGGCCUGAGAGGGUGUACGGCCACAUUGGGACUGAGAUACGGCCCAGACUCCUACGGGAGGCAGCAGUGGGGAAUAUUGCACAAUGGGCGCAAGCCUGAUGCAGCGACGCCGCGUGGGGGAUGACGGCCUUCGGGUUGUAAACUCCUUUCGCUAGGGACGAAGCGCAAGUGACGGUACCUGGAGAAGAAGCACCGGCUAACUACGUG
rnacentral:rRNA from 1 species